rnacentral:rRNA from 1 species
AGCAGCCGCGGUAAUUCCAGCUCCAAUAGCGUAUAUUAAAGUUGUUGCAGUUAAAAAGCUCGUAGUUGAAUUUCAGGCCUGGCUGGACGGUCCGCCCUUCGGGUGAGUACUGUCUGUGGUCGGGUCCUACCUUCUGGUGAAGCGUCAUGGCCUUAACCGGCCGUGGCGGGGAACCAGGACUUUUACUGUGAAAAAUUAGAGUGUUCAAAGCAGGCAAUCGCUUGGAUACAUUAGCAUGGAAUAAUGGAAUAGGACAAUGGUUCUAUUUGUUGGCUUCUAGGACCGUUGUAAUGAUUAAUAGGGAUAGUUGGGGGCAUUAGUAUUCAAUUGUCAGAGGUGAAAUUCUUGGAUUUAUUGAAGACUAACUACUGCGAAAGCAUUUGCCAAGGAUGUUUUCAUUAAUCAAGAACGAAAGUUAGGGGAUCGAAGACGAUCAGAUACCGUCGUAGU